rnacentral:rRNA from 1 species
GACGAACGCUGGCGGCGUGCCUAAAACAUGCAAGUCGAACGAGGCCUUCGGGUCUAGUGGCGAACGGCGGAGUAAUACGUGAACAACGUGCCCCUAAGUCUGGGACAAACGCAGAAAUGCCAUAAAUACCAGAUGUGGUCGGAGAAGGACAUCCUUUUUCCAAUUAAAGGCUUUUCGCUUAGGGAGCGGUUCACGGCCUAUCAGCUAGUUGGUGGGGUAAAGGCCUACCAAGGCGACGACGGGUAGGGGGUCUGAGAGGAUGAUCCCCCCGAGUGGGACUGAGACACGGCCCACACACCUACGGGUGGCAGCAGUUGGGAAUCUUGCACAAUGGGGGAAACCCUGAUGCAGCGACGCCGCGUGGAGGAUGACGGAUUUAGGUCUGUAAACUCCUUUUGCAGGGAAAGACUUAGGACGGUACCCUGAGAAUAAGGACCGGCUAACUACGUG